GUGAGGGGCAUGUGAGGGCUGUCGCUGACUCAAAGUCGUGCACGCCCGAGUGUGUCCUCUCACAUAAUAAUCCAUMUCACCCUUUGUGCAUCGCCGCGUGAGCACCCUUUGGGAUCAUCUCGGAGGGGGCUCGCGUUUUCACACAAACCCCCCUUUUAAAAGUGUAGAAUGACCUCAUUUAUGCGCUAACACGCAAUCAAUACAACUUUCAACAACGGAUCUCUUGGCUCUCGCAUCGAUGAAGAACGCAGCGAAAUGCGAUACGUAAUGUGAAUUGCAGAAUUCAGUGAAUCAUCGAAUCUUUGAACGCACCUUGCGCCCCUUGGUAUUCCGAGGGGCACACCCGUUUGAGUGUCGUGAAAACCUCAACCUCCUUGGUUUCUUCUGGAGACCAAAGGCAGGCUUGGACUUUGGAGGCCCUUGCUGGAACCUCUCUCUUUUGAAGGCCAGCUCCUCUUAAACGAAUUAGCAGGGUCCUCUUUGCCGAUCCUCGACGUGUGAUAAGAUGUUUCCAUGUCUUGGUUUCUGGCUCUGUCACUUUUGGGACCCGCUUCUAACCGUCUUGACCUUGCAUCGAGACAAUGUUCGAGCAUGUCUCCCUUCUCGGGAAGCUCCCUCGACCCCACGAACCCUUGACCUCAAAUCGGGUGAGACUACCCGCUGAACUUAAGCAUAUCAAUAAGCGGAGGAAAAGAAACUAACAAGGAUUCCCCUAGUAACUGCGAGUGAAGCGGGAAAAGCUCAAAUUUAAAAUCUGGCGGUCUUUGGCCGUCCGAGUUGUAAUUUAGAGAAGCGUCUUCCGCGCUGGACCGUGU
rnacentral:rRNA from 1 species